rnacentral:lncRNA from 1 species
GAAAGACUUAUCCAAUGAAAACCGCUGCCAGGGGGGCAUUUGAACUCCGCCGCUCGCUGUCUCGCUCUCCCCAAUCUGCCCGGUGCACUCUCACCCCUCCGGGCCGGCGCGCUCUCCGGCGCGCUCGCUCGCUCGCUCGUUCGCUCUCUCCCCGCUACCCGACGAGUCCUCAACAAGUUGGAGGAAGGCCGGAACGCAGGGGUUAAGCUCGGAAAGCCUCAAUUACCAAGAUCGUGACCCUCCCACACAGUACAAUAACUUAUAUACUUACCUGGAUGAGCCUCCUGUGCAGCUGGGCAAACACUCGUGGGGGGCAGGGAGGGGCAGGAGGGAGCGGGCCGGUUGGAGACGGACUCCUUCAAGCUGGCUGCAGUGCGGACCGGACCAGCGCGCUCCCGAAGCCUCCUGCCCGAGGUGGUCAAACCUGUCUUAACAGCUGGAGCUCUGCAUGAGGGUGGCCACUGCAGGAGGGGGUCUCAGAGACCACAGGAGCUGAAGAGUCUUUACCGGUGAGCCCUGGAGUCCCAGGAACUUGGUUUCCUAAAAUGGAAAGGAAGUUUGGGCGAGAGUUUGGCAGUGCCGAUGGUUCCAGCGAAUGAAGAAUCCAUUUGCAGCUGGUGUUGAAAGUGGAAAACGCCAGAAGGUUUAUCUCCUGAAGAAUCUGUGAGAUCCUUUUAAAGGUGAAACUUUUCAUCUUUAGAAUUAAGCACCUUCUCAACUGAACUUGAAGGAGAGAUUAAGUGCAAUGUUUUGAGCUACGUUCAAAAGAAGAUGAGACAGAAGAAGACAGAACUGUUAAAAAUAUUUACUUGACUCCAUGAAGUUAUUGACCUUGAACUCCAAGACACUGGGAACUAUGUUGUUCAGUGCUCAGCGUGGCGGGAGCAGCCGGCAUUCACAAGGCUGGCCAUAAGCGAGUGCAACCGGAGCGAAGGCGUGUGGUGGGGAAGACAUAGAAACACGGGCUGCAAACCUUCAUCUGGCAAAGUUGAUGGGAACAAUGACAGUAUAUUUAACAGCGAUAUGUACAGAAGUGUUUAAUAAAGGGGUGACAAUAAAAACCACAGCUCCACGCACACUUCUCAUUUGCAAUCUUCCCAUUUCCUAGCGGCUUCUCUGAUCCCAGACCCUCUCGAAACCCGAGCUCCCACCAAGCUGGGUCCGACUGGCCAAUCAGAGCGCAGGCUUCCGCGAUCGCGAGGACGGCCGCG